GAUGAAGAACGUAGCGAAAUGCGAUAAGUAAUGUGAAUUGCAGAAUUCAGUGAAUCAUCGAAUCUUUGAACGCACAUUGCGCCCGUCAGUAUUCUGGCGGGCAUGCCUGUUCGAGCGUCAUUACGCCCCUCAAGUCCCCUGAGGACUUGGUGUUGGGGAUCGGCGAGGCUGGUUUUCCAGCACAGCCGUCCCUUAAAUUAAUUGGCGGUCUCGCCGUGGCCCUCCUCUGCGCAGUAGUAAAACACUCGCAACAGGAGCCCGGCGCGGUCCACUGCCGUAAAACCCCCCAACUUUUUAUAGUUGACCUCGAAUCAGGUAGGACUACCCGCUGAACUUAAGCAUAUCAAUAAGCGGAGGA
rnacentral:misc_RNA from 1 species